rnacentral:misc_RNA from 1 species
UGAAAAUUAAAACCAUUUGUGUCUACAAUAGUGUACCAAGUUGCUACGGUUAUUCGAAAACCAGCUGGUAGUAAAUGGAAACAAAGUGGAAUAACUUAAAAGUGAAUCUUCAUUAUAUGUACAGUAAAGACAAUAUUGAUUGUUAUGUUAACAAUAUUAUCAAGUACAAACUUGGAGGAUUUAAAAGAAAUGAGUAUGGCAGUGAAUAUAAAUUUCUUCUUAACAACAAAUUUGGAAUAGGUAAUAAUUCGCAUUACGUUCUGUACUCGGGAGCUAUAGAUAUUGCUAAUAAGCUUCCACUAGAUUUUUUCUUUGAAAAAACAAAACAACCUGUUAAUGAAAACGAUGAUCGUAAAGAUGUUUUUGAUGAAAUAGUGCCGUUAAUGUUAUCCGAAACAAAUUGCACAGCUAAAAUACUAUUUCCUUACAAUGUUACUGGUAUUCACUGGGUUACUAACGAAAUCGUUUUAGCUAAAUCCAAUAGUAAUGUUUCAGUAAUAAUAUACACUCACGAUCCUUAUGGUGGUGGAAAAUUAUCAAAAAAACAUUUUAGCAUACUUAACGUUUGUAUAAACAAAUCUUUAAAAAAUAGUGGUUUGCAGGUAACAUCAGUAACCAGCUUGUCAAGUCCGUUUACUAAUGCAAGACAAACUAUAGCAGAUGAAACAUCUUGCGGUAUAAUUGUUGCUCAAGAGAUAGUUAAAAGGAUAACCAAUAAUAGUCUUAGCAUAUCAUCACCUUUUCCACAAGGUGCAGAACAGUUACGCCUAUCACAACUUAUUUUUCUAAAUGAACAUUUAGGAGAAGAUAAUCCUAACUUUCAACUUUUUAAACAGCAAGUUAGUUUAGUGGAAACUCGUUUAGAAGAAAAUUCAUCUACAACCCAUUUAGAAUAUACUGCGAGACCAACAAUAGAAAAAAGACUAACAAUAGAAGAAUUAAGAGAAAAAGUAGAACAGGUUGUCAAUUCAGAAGAACAAAACAAUGUCAAAGUUGAUCAACUAAAGCAGCUUUUAAAAGAACAAUAUAAACUUUUCAUUCACCAACUAGCGUAUAAAAAGAGUCUAGAAGAGCUAAAAGAUUUGGUUAUUGUCUUAAACGAUUUAGGCUAUUUUACCAUUAAAUUAGGAGAGUUGAGUGGGGAGCUGGGAUAUUAUAACGAGGCAGCAGUAUUUUAUCAAUAUGUCAUAACUAUAUUAGAUGAGAGACUAAACAAAAAGUUAAUAAGUAAAGAAAAUAAAAAUGAAUUUAUUAUAUAUGAAAAAAUAAAUCCACAUCAACAACUAACUCAUAUACAACAGCUAAUAUUUUUAAGAAUUGGUGGAAAUCUAGAGAAAAUGCCAGUUAUUCAAGAUGAAGUACAAACUAAUAAACAUAAAUUAUUAGCAUUGCGAAAUAAAGCUGAUAAAGUGAUACAAAAGAUAGAAGAUUAUUACCAGCAGAAGAAAACGAAUUUUCAAAAUGAAAAAGAAAACUAUCAGGAGUUAUAUGUAAGCACUGCAAGAGCUUUGUUUAAAGAUAUAGCUUAUGAAAUGAAAACGUUUUUAUUUAAGUUAUAUAGUGACAGUGAGCAGCAAAUUUCUGUAGCCCCUCCUUGUAAAUACUCAGUAGUUGGACUUGGGUCAAUGGCACUAAAGCAAAUGACACCGUAUUCAGACUUAGAGUUUGCUAUUUUGACGGAAAACGAGGAUUGGAAAAAAAGUAGUGAUCCCAAGAUAAAAGCGUAUUUUGAGAACCUAAGCCACUUGGUAAACUUUAAAAUAAUUAAUUUAGGAGAAAGUAUUAUUCCUAAAUCUAAAUACGGUUUAGAUAUGGAACAUCUAGUGCACAGAGCAGUUAACUUUGAUCUAGGAGGAAAAACACCUUUAGGAAGAAUUGAUAAAGACAAACCAUAUGAGCUGAUAAAAACAGUUGAAUGGAUGAUGCAUUAUGUACGUAAUGAGGAAGAUAAAGCCAGUCAUAUUGAUAAGAACCUACCAUAUAUUCUAGAAAAUGUUUGCUAUGUGUAUGGAGAACAAAAGCUUUUUAAUGACUACCAAAGCAUGGUUUCAGAUUUUCUGCAUAAUAAAAUUGAAGAUAAAAAAUAUGGUACACUAAGAAACUGUGAAAUAAGAGCCAUUAAACUAUUAAUAGAGGAAGCUAAAGAAAUUGAUUAUUCUAAAGUUAACAUUACGUCUAUACCCCCGAUAUCUGAUUCAAAAGAAAAUUUUAAAGGCUUAGAUAAACCAAAAGGUGACCUAGGCUUAUUGCAUCCUAAAUUAUUUGACAAUGAAGGUAGAUUGUUUGAAGUUAAGAAAGAUAUUUAUAGAUUGCUUGACCGUUUAGUGUAUAAUCUUGGUCUGUACUACGGAAUUGAAGGAGAUAGUAACUGGGAUACAGUUGAUAAAUUAGAGAAGCAAAAAGUUAUAAAAAUAGAAGCAGCAGUUAAUCUAAAAACUGCUUUAACUUUUGCUACUACUCUGAGAUUAAAAACUUAUUCACACCAUAAAGCACAGCAGGAGGAUAUGUCGAUAUUUGCCGGAUCAGCUGAAACUGAGUCUGAAAUUCAAGAACAAGCUAAAAAAAUAUUCCAUCUGGCUAAAAAAGAUUUAAUUGAAGAUGGUGGAUUGUUUCAAUAUUUUUAUACCGCAUUACCUUUAUAUGAAAAAUUAAAAGUUUUUUGUAGCAAACAUAAAACAUUAAAUGAUUUAGAGAAAAAAACAUUUUUUUUAGAUUCUGUGUUUUAUAAAAAUGAUUUUGUUACUAAAGGUUUUAUUUACUAUAGGUUAGCACAAUAUAAUAAAGCCAAAAACAACUUAGAAAAAUCCUUAAAUGAUCUUAAUGAUAAUUUGAAAGUGAGAGUAAUUUUAGGACAUAUAUAUAACAGUUUUGGUAGUGCCGAUCAGGCUAUAGAGCAAUUUGAAUAUUGUUUGGAAAAGCAAAUAACUAUUAACCAAGACCAACUUAAUCCGGAUGUUGCUGUAUUUUUGCUAAAUCUAGGGUUAUCUUAUAAUGCUAAAGGGCAGUAUGAUCAGGCAAUUGAGUAUUAUAAAGAGUGCUUAGAUAUGCAAAAACUCAUCUACCAAGACCAGUCUAAUUCAAAUGUAGCUGAUACUUUAAAUAAUCUAGGAUCAGCUUUUUAUGGAAAAGGACAAUUUGAUGAGGCAAUUAAGUUUUAUAAAAAUAGCUUAAAGAUGAGAAACUUAGUCUACCACGAUCAAACUCACCCUAGUAUAGCUAAUUCUUUCAAUAACCUAGGUGUAGCUUAUCGUGCUAAAGGACAAUAUGAUCAAGCAAUUGGGUAUUACGAAAAGAUUCAAGAGUUUUACAAAUUCAUCUAUAGAGAAGAACCUCAUUUUGAUGUUGCUGCUUCUUUACAUAAUCUAGGGACAGUAUAUAAUGCUAAAGAACAAUAUGAUUUGGCAAUCAACUGUUUUAAAAAGAGCUUGAAGACAUUUAAAAUCAUCUAUAAAAAAAAACCACAUCCAAAAGUUUCUGAUUCUUUAAAUAGUCUAGGCACAGCUUACCAUCUUAAAGGAUAUUAUGAUCAGGCAAUUAAGUAUUUCAAAGAGAGCUUAGAAAUGCAAAAUACUAUCUACCAAAACCAACCCAAUCCAAGAAUUUCUAUUUCUUUAAUUAAUCUAGGUUCAGCUUUUUAUACAAAAGGACAAUAUGAUGAGGCAAUUAAGUAUUAUAAUGAUAGUUUAAAAAUGAGAAAACUAAUUUAUCUAGAUAAACCCCACCCUGCUAUUGCUGAUUCUUUAAAUAAUCUUGGUGCAGCUUACAAUGCUAAAGGAGAAUAUGACGAAGCCACUAAGUAUUAUAAAAAAAGUUUAGAGAUAAACAAAAUUAUCUACAAUGAAGAACCUCAUUCAAAUAUUGCUAAUUGUUUAAACAAUUUAGGAAAUGUUUACAAUGCUAACGGACAAUAUGAUAAGGCAAUUAAAUAUUAUGAAAAGAGUCUUGUAAAACUCAAACUCAUCUAUAAAGUAGAACCUCAUUCUAAUGUUGCUGGGUUAUUAAAUAAUCUAGGAAUUCUUUAUAAUAGAAAAAGACAACACGAUCAGGCAAUUAGCUAUUAUAAAGAAAGCCUAGAGAUGUACAAACUAAUCUAUAAUGAAGAACAUCAUACAAAUGUUGCUGAUUCUUUAAAUAACUUAGGGAACGCUUAUAAUGCCAAAGGCGAUUAUGAUCAGGCAUUUUGCUACUAUAAAGAAAGCCUAAAGAUCUACAAACUAAUUUAUAAUCAAAAACCUCAUCCGAAUGUUGCUUCUUCUUUAAGUAACUUAGGAAACCUUUGUAAUGCUAAAGAAAAUUUUGAGCAGGCAAUGAAGUACUUAAUAAAAAGCUUAGAUAUGCAAAAACUGAUUUACAAAGAUCAUUUUCACCCAAGCGUUGCUGAUUCUUUAAACAACUUAGGAUUUGCUUAUGGUGCUAAAGGAGAAUAUGAUCGAGCAAUUAAGUGUUAUGAAGAGAGUCUUAAUAUAUACAAGUUUAUUUAUAAAAAAGAUUCUAAUUCAAACGUUGCUGAUUCUUUAAACAAUCUAGGGAACGUUUAUUAUGAUAAGAUGCAGUAUGAUCAGGCAAUUAGGUACUAUGAGGAGAGCCUAGCGGUAUACAAAGCAGUUUAUGAUAAACAACCUCAUCUAGAUAUUGUUGAUUCUUUAAAUAAUUUAGGAAACGUUUUUAAGGCUAUAGGACAAUAUGAUCAGGCAAUAAAGUAUUUUGUAGACAGCCUAGAUAUGCAAAAACAGAUUUACAAAAAUCAAAACCAUCCUAGUAUUGCCCGUUCUCAAAAUAAUCUAGCGUUAGUUCAUUGUGCUAAAAAACAGUAUGACCAGGGAAUUAAGUUUUUUGAAGAGAGUUUACAGAUAUACAAACUGAUCCACAAAAAUGAUCCUAAUCUAAGUGUUGCCGAUACUUUAAAUAACAUAGGGACUGCUUUUAGUGCUAUAAGACAAUAUGAUCAGGCAAUUAAGUACUUUGAGGAGAGCCUAGAUAUGAAAAAAUUUAUUUUCAAAGGUCAACCUCAAAGCAGUAUUGCUAGAUCUUUAAAUAAUUUAGGGUUAGCAUAUUGUGCUAAAGGACAACAUGAUCAGGCAAUUAGUUACCAUGAGGAGAGCUUAGAAAUUUAUAAACUCUUGCACAAGGGAGAAAUUCAUCCAAAUGUUGCUGAUUCUUAUAACUAUCUAGGAAACGUGUAUAAUGCUAAAGGACAGUAUGAUCAGGCAAUUAAGUAUCAUAGCCAAGCUUGGCAAAUAAUAUCAUUUUUUCAAGAUUACCCAUACGCAAAUGAUAUAAAAACUAGUUUGAUAAAAUCAUCUGAGCUGUUUGCUCAAAAGUAUUCUUUAAAUCCGCAAGAGGUUAUUAAUAAAAACAUUUAUUUGCCUAAGUGAAUAAAGAUAAAAUAAAGAAGUUAAAUAAUGAUAAUGGAUUUUUUAAAAUUUCCCUAUUUAUUUUUAUCAUUCUACUAAUAUUAAAAACAAAUAUCUUAGAUAUUUGUAUGCUUACAGUAUUAAUAUCAUAAAAGCUGAUUUUUAUAAACCUAACAUUAAUCAAAAUUAAAUUAUCCACUUGAAGUUUUUUUUUUAAUUUUAUAGAUUAAUUUAAUAAACUAAUCAAUACGUAAAAUGCUAAGUUUAAACUUAAAUACGGAGUUGGUUAAAACAAUAAAAUAUUUAUGGUGAUGCAUAAAUACAUAUAGCACACUUUAGCAAGAAGAAUGGGAUUAAUGCAGUGUGGAGCUACUCUACCUAAUAAUCAAAACGAUUAUGGCAAGUCACGAUUUCAUUGUUUAUCAAAAAACAAAGAUACGACACUACACUUUAUGUAUUAGAUAAAGAUAUGCAUAUUCAAAGUCACAAUUUAUGUACUGUACUCUUGUGUGGAUGUUUUACAUAAAAGCAGUAAAUGUAAAAGUCAAUAAGUUACACGCGCAAAUACAUUAUGUUUGAUAUACAAUGGGAAUCGGCAUUUGAAAGUUUUUUAGAGAAGGAUAACUAUGUUUCAUUAUCUUGAGAUUAUUAUUUAGCUCUAACAAUCUAAAACAUUAAAAAUGAUUCUAACAAAGCUUACUAAGUGACUCCUAACUUCUUGGCAAGAAAACGCUCAAUACACGAAGCAAUACUUACUUUAGUAUCCCUCGAAUUAAAUUGCAAUUGAACGGAAAAAAUUCACUUUGGUAUUAACUUGGAGCUCCAUCCCAAUAGACAUUUCUUCUUUAAAUUAAAUUUUUAAGAAGAAUUUCGAAUAAAGGCAAUUAAUAGCCCAUACAAACUAUGUCUUGAAUAAAAGAAAGAAAGACAAAAAAAAAAAGAUAUUGUUUAUUAGAACAAAUUUACAGGUGGUAAAAGUACACUAUCAUCGUUUUAUAUAGUUCAUUAUUUUACUGCAACAUAGCUUGUAUAAUAACUUGGUAAAAUCCACCAAUGUUAAGCAAAGUUAAAUAACAAAAAUGAAAAAAACCAAUUAAUCUGGUAGUUAUACGCUCUUUGAAAGUUUAUAAUAGAUCUUUGGCAUUGCAAAGACUGGUUAUAGCUAUCGAUAAAACGAAAAUUUGUUACUGAUUUUUUAAUUUACCAUGCAUUAAAAAUGUUUGCAUGCCGAAAAGAGAAAAACUCGACCAUGGUUCAGUAUUUUUAAAAGCUAGAUUUUUGGAAGCUCAACAAAAAUUUAACCUUAACCCUAACGCUGACCCCAACUCUAAUUCUAAUCCUGACCCUAACCCUGGCUCUAACCCUACCCUGACUGUAACUCUAACCCCUAACCCUAAAUCUGACUACUAAGAGAAUAAAUAGAAUAAUUUUCCUAUACCAAAUAUGUUAUCAAAACAUGGUGAUUUUUCGAUACCUUGCCAAUGGUCGUGGUUCUGGAACUUUCUUCAGCAAACUAAAUUAUCGAAAAUUAGAAAAAUAUACAAAGUUUUAAAAUGGCAACUAUAAAAAGAAAUUGAAAAAAUAUAUAAACCGAAAAAAUUUAAAAUUUGCAAUCGUUUUUAACAAAACAAUGAAUCUUAGAGAAGCUGCAGGUGUAUUUAGGUUUUUUAAAAGUACAUUACAGAAUUAAAAUCCAUAGAAAUGAUAAAAAAUUAAAUAUUGAAAACUAUUUCACCAAGUAUACUUUGAAAAAAAAAAAGGUAGAAAUGUCUACUUUAGGAUAGAAUGUGUGAUAUA